CCAGCUCCAAUAGCGUAUAUUAAAGUUGUUGCAGUUAAAAAGCUCGUAGUCGGGAGUGGGGGGCGUGGUGUGUGUGGGUGGAUCGAAAGAUUUCACUCGGCCACUUCCCCUUUCGGGGCGACUGGAUGGUUUAUCAUGCAUCCAGCAUGCCCCGCGUUACUGUGAGGAAAUUAGAGUGUUCAAGGCGGGCGAGAGCGUGGAUACAUUGCAUGGAAUAACAGGGCGCCUGUUGGUUGGUUGGGGACAGGCACGGGGGAUAGGGCCAGUCGGGGGCAUUGGUACUUGGUAGUCAGAGGUGAAAUUCUUGGAUUUACCAAAGACGGACGGGGGCGAAGGCAUCUGCCAAGGAUGGUUUCG
rnacentral:rRNA from 1 species